AUUGAAUACAUCAAAUGUCUUCAUGAGCAGUUGACUGUACUAUGCUCUCCAUAUGUGAAAAUGAUCUAUGAAAUUAAAAAGGAGAUGGGAGGAAAAGAAGACCUGAGAAGUAGAUGACUGUGUUUGGUUCCCAUCUCCACCAUCUGCAAUGCAGGAAGGACACCUCCAUCAGCUCUU